CCUACGGGAGGCAGCAGUGAGGAAUAUUGGUCAAUGGUCGGGAGACUGAACCAGCCAAGCCGCGUGAGGGAGGAAGGUACAGAGUAUCGUAAACCUCUUUUGUCAGGGAACAAAGACUGGGACGCGUCCCCGGAUGAGUGUACCUGAAGAAAAAGCAUCGGCUAACUCCGUGCCAGCAGCCGCGGUAAUACGGAGGAUGGUAGCGUUAUCCGGAUUUCUUGGGUUUAAAGGGUGGGCGGGCGGUCUGUUAAGUCAGCGGUCAAAGCCCGGGGCUUAACCCCGGGCCGCCGUUGAAACUGGCAGUCGCGAGUUGGAGAGAAGUAUGCGGAAUGCGCGGUGUAGCGGUGAAAUGCAUAGAUAUCGCGCAGAACUCCGAUUGCGAAGGCAGCAUGCCGGCUCCACACUGACGCUGAGGCACGAAAGCGUGGGUAUCGAACAGGAUUAGAUACCCCAGUAGUC
rnacentral:rRNA from 1 species